AUGCAACCUGAUAGAUGCUACACUCUGGUUUCCCAACUUCCCCGUGCUUCGCCAUUGCUGCUAAGGUCGCGUUAACAACCAUAUCCGCUGGAACCUAAAGCAAGUCAUUUUUUCAGUUACCGGACUUGAAGUUCCAAACAGCAUGGCUACUUACUACGUCAAGAACUCCAUUGGGGUCAACAAGGAAUCCAGUGAGCUGCCCCUUUCCGUAUUGCAAUAUGAUCGGAUCCAUCAUUCUGGUGGCCAUGGAAUGGUUCUUUGUGCGUGCUCUCGAUGACGCUGGGUCUAAUCACAACUACUGGUACAUCACCCCUUAAAUUAUCUAUCAUCAUUUCUCCCAUAGCCUUUGUGAAUACGUAUGUAUCUUGCCAUCCAAAUUUCUUAGCCCUGGAUAGAGCACACAUGUUUUCGUUAUCUUAUUAGGAAUGUAUUGACGAGAUUUUAAUAUUUCAUGAAUAAAUUGAGAUUACCUCUGCAGUCCUAAUUCUUUCAUUGCCUGAAGCAGUGAAUCAUUUCCAAGAGUUUUCUUUGCUUCCACAACUAUCUUUAUUUCAUCUUCAACGCUCAAUUUGGGAAGUAAGAUUUGAUGAUUUCCGUUAAUGGUUUCACCUGCUAUAGUUUCACCUUUGCAGAAAGGCUUUUCCAUGAUUCUGCCUUGCCUUUGUCCAUUUACAUAAGCUGUUACGAAUAUAAAAAAAAAACAUGUUUAAGUUUAGACAGGCUAGAAUGAGUUUAGGAAGUUAGUUAGAAGUUGGAUACUCUUAGGUUAGACAUUUUAUAACAUUGUUUAAGCUACUCUUUACUUGCCUGUCGAUACUUGUACGAAGAGCUUCAGUUUCAGGCAUUGUUUCGCAAAGCUCAUGAGUCGAGUCGGACCGCCUGUGUUUAUGUCAAGGGCUGUAUCAUACCUGAGAUCAUCAAAUCAUUUACUUGAAAAAUCAUCAAUAACCCUAUAAUUAGAUGAGAACAACAACUAGUAUGGAUUUCAUAACCUUUCAUCAAAAGUGGUAUUUGCUGCAGAAUUUAUGAUUACAUCAACCUCUCUAGUCAUGAACUCAGCUGCAUCUUCGUCUAAUCCGAGAUUAGUUUCGCAUACAUUCCCAACCACAGGAAUUAACUUACUCAACAUGAAAGCUUGAUAUGAUUUUCCAUGAAUUUGUUUCAAAUUCUUGAACAGCUCGGUGUUGAUGAUCUACAACAGACACACAUCUCAGAAGCUUAGGCAGGAAAAAGAAGUCUAAGAGAGAGAUACAUAUAUAUGAAAGCAAAGCUCUCCGUACUUCGUUUUUCAAUCUCUCUGCUCCAGCUUCUUUGCUCUUGGCUUUGAUCAGAACAAAUAUCUUAUGAACAUCAGGAGCCGUUCGCAGCAUUUUCUCGAUGAGAACUGAAAAUUCAUGCAAGGGACAACAGGAGGAAUUAAAUGACGUUUCUGAGAAUCUGAGAAGGUAAGGAAACAAUACCUUUGCCAAGAAAUCCAGUUGCACCAGUGAUGAGGAAGGUCUUCCCUCUUAGAAAUUUGACAAUGCCGAUACCUUCAUCCUUGCCAUUGGGGCUCAAGACUAGGCUCCCGGUUUCCAUCAACGCAGGCCCAUGAUCUUGGCUGAUCAAAGCCGACGACGUCUCUGUGAGAACCGAAGAGAUCCCAGUAGACUUGAUGGCAUGGCUACCAGUUUGGCAGCAAACCAUGCUUCUCCGCCUGCCUGUCAAAAGCCGCCUGUGGUUGAAGUUGGAAGCUUUAACUCCAUAGGAGAUGGAGGAAUUCAGAGAGAAAGCCUCCAUUGUUGCACAGGUGAAAAUUAGUAAAAAAGAAUGCAAGGUGAGAUGAAGUUCUUUUGUUGAGAAAUGGUAGGUUUGCAAAGUUAGCUACUCUUCUUUUUUUUACCCUUA